GACGUAGGGCGCGAGCGUUGUCCGGAUUUAUUGGGCGUAAAGAGCUCGUAGGCGGCUUGUCGCGUCGACUGUGAAAACCCGCGGCUCAACUGCGGGCCUGCAGCCGAUACGGGGCAGGCUAGAGUUCGGUAGGGGGAGACUGGAAUUCCUGGUGUAGCGGUGAAAUUCGUAGAUAUCGGGAGGAACACCAGUGGCGAAGGCGGCGC
rnacentral:rRNA from 1 species